rnacentral:rRNA from 1 species
UCGGUGACAGGUGGGUGCAUGGUUGUCGUCAGCUCGUGUCGUGAGAUGUUGGGUUAAGUCCCGCAACGAGCGCAACCCCUAUUGUUAGUUGCCAUCAUUCAGUUGGGCACUCUAGCGAGACUGCCGGUAAUAAACCGGGGAAGGUGGGGAUGACGUCAAAUCAUCAUGCCCCUUAUGACCUGGGCUACACACGUGCUACAAUGGUUGGUACAACGAGUUGCGAGUCGGUGACGGCCGGGCUAAUCUCUUAAAGCCAAUCUCAGUUCGGAUUGUAGGCUGCAACUCGCCUACAUGAAGUCGGAAUCGCUAGUAAUCGUGGAUCAGCACGCCGCGGUGAAUACGUUCCCGGGCCUU